GUGCCAGGCAGCCGCGGUAAUACGUAGGUGGCAAGCGUUGUCCGGAAUUUAUUGGGCGUAAAGGGGCUCGCAGGCGGUUUCUGUAAGUCUGAUGUGAAAGCCCCCGGCUCAACCGGGGAGGGUCAUUGGAAACUGGGGAACUUGAGUGCAGAAGAGGAGAGUGGAAUUCCACGUGUAGCGGUGAAAUGCGUAGAGAUGUGGAGGAACACCAGUGGCGAAGGCGACUCUCUGGUCUGUAACUGACGCUGAGGAGCGAAAGCGUGGGGAGCGAACAGGAUUAGAUACCCUGGUAGUCC
rnacentral:rRNA from 1 species